rnacentral:misc_RNA from 1 species
UCUCCGUUGGUGAACCAGCGGAGGGAUCAUUACCGAGUUUACAACUCCCAAACCCCUGUGAACAUACCUAUACGUUGCCUCGGCGGAUCAGCCCGCGCCCCGUAAAAAGGGACGGCCCGCCCGAGGACCCCUAAACUCUGUUUUUAGUGGAACUUCUGAGUAAAACAAACAAAUAAAUCAAAACUUUCAACAACGGAUCUCUCGGUUCUG